AAAUUGAAGAGUUUGAUCAUGGCUCAGAUUGAACGCUGGCGGCAGGCCUAACACAUGCAAGUCGAACGGUAACAGAAAGAAGCUUGCUUCUUUGCUGACGAGUGGCGGACGGGUGAGUAAUGUCUGGGAAACUGCCUGAUGGAGGGGGAUAACUACUGGAAACGGUAGCUAAUACCGCAUAACGUCGCA
rnacentral:rRNA from 1 species